CCUACGGGAGGCUGCAGUGAGGAAUAUUUGUCAAUGGACGAGAGUCUGAACCAGCAAAGCAGCGUGAAGGAUGAAUGCUCUAGGGGUUGUAAACUUCUUUUAUAAAGGAAUAAAAGGAGGCACGUGAGCCUUUUGGAAUGUACUUUAUGGUUAAGGAUCGGCUAACGCCGUGCCAGCAGCAGCGGUAAUACGGAGGAUACGAGCGUUAUCCGAAUGUAUGGGGUUUAAAGUGAGCGUAGAUGGGUUGGUAAGUCAGUUGUGAAAGUUUGCGGCUCAACCGUAAAAUUGCAAUUGAUACUGGUAGUCUUGAGUACAGUAGAGGUAGGUGGAAUUCGUGGUGUAGCGGUGAAAUGCUUAGAUAUCACGAAGAACCCUGAUUGCGAAGGCAGCUUACUAAACUGUGACUGACAUGGAUGCUCGAAAGUGUGGGUAUCAAACAGGAUUAGAUACCCGGGUAGUC
rnacentral:rRNA from 1 species